rfam:Schistosoma mansoni strain Puerto Rico chromosome 1, complete genome
AUCUAGUUGACGAGUCCCAAAUCGGACGAAGUGUCGCGCGUCCUGGAU